AAGGAAUGAUGAGUGAACCAUUUAAGAUAAGAGAACGUCCGUCGACUUGAUCAAGAAUCAAAACGAAGUGUAAAAUAACGAUUUGGUAAACAGAUGAUAAUUCAAAUAUAAGGAAUAAUGGCAAGUAACUGGAGUGUUUGCGGGGUCUGUGAUUAUCGCCACAUUACAAAACCAUCAGUUGUCUGGUGUUCAGAGUGUGAUGAAGGGCUCUGUGAAGAUGGAAAGACCAUCAUGGUAUUUCAAAAGGAUCAAGAAAUCAUGAAACCGUAUCUAUUGCAGAGUAUCAGAAACUGCCAAACAAAGUAUUACAAUUGGCACGUUCUUGUGCUAAGCACAAUGAGAAAUACGUGCUGUUCUGUAAAAAGCAUGACUGUCCGUGCUGCAAGAAAUGUGUAGUUGAAUCACACAAGGAAUGUAAAGAAUUGACCGAUAUCGAUGAUAAAACACGAAACAUCAAAUCUUCAAAUGCUUUUGCAGACAUCGAACAGACCUUAUCAGAAAUUGCAGAGAAUAUUAAAAGACUUCGAAUCAACCGGGAAGACAAUUUGGCGUCAAUCGGGAAAAAGAGUAGAGAAAUUGAAAAAGAGGUUCUAGAAACUCGUGCUAGGAUUAAUCUUCAUCUAGAUAAACUUCAGGAUGCUGUAUUGAAAGAACUGAAAACGAGGGAAGAAGAAGAAAGUAACAAAAUCCGACGACUUCUUAAGUCCUUAAUAGACAAGGAAAAAGAGAUCACAGAUAACCAAACAAAUAUUGGUAAUAUCAAGCAGUACGCUUCAGACCUGCAAACUUUCCUCGUUUUGAAACACAUAGAAAAAGAUGUCGUAGCAAAAGAACAGUACAUUCAAUCAAUAGUCAAAAGUGAUGGUGCGAAUCAAAUUGACUUGUCGUGCAAGAUUAAUUCCUCCUUGCAAGGUUUGAUAGCUGCCAUUAAAAAAUUUGGAGAUGUCACGAUGAUAGCAGAUUCAUGUAAUAUAUCCAAUCAGAAACAAAAGGACAAACAAGCUCAGAUGGUGGUAGCUUUACCACCUAUGACUAUCGAUAGCCUGACACCUACAUUGGUGCAGACAUUUGACACAAAGUUGGCGGCUGUCUGGGGAUGUACGCUUUUGCCUGAUUGUAGAAAGGUAAUUUCAUGCUUUGCACACAGAAUUAUUAAAGUUUUUAAGCUAGAUGGAUCUCUGGAUUUUAAGAUUGGAAACUUCGGUCCUAUAUUCGAUGUGGUGUACAUAGGAGAUAAUUCACUUGCUGUGACUUCUGGUUACAGAAGUGAUUCCCUUCAAAUUAAUUUGUUGGACUUAAAAACAAGGAAAGUAAAGAAAAAAUUGAAAGUGAAUUCAGUAAACUCUGGAGUAGCAUACAGUGAAGACAAGUUGAUUUAUUGUGCUGGAAAGAAAGGAAUACAAAUGAUCAACCUUUAUAAUGAAUCCAUUGUAAAUGUUACUAAAACCGAAGUAACUGAAUUUUCGUAUGUUGCAACAUUGGGAGACAUUAUAUUCUAUACAGACUGUAACGACGGUAGUGUAACCUGCAUUGACUUUCAAGUAAAUAUACAAUGGGUUUUUAAAAAUACUAGUGUUCUUAAUAACACUUUGGGUAUAUCUGUAGAUAGAGAUGGAAAUGUUUACGUGGUAGGAAGAGAUUCGAACAAUGUAGUUGUUAUCUCUCCCAACGGACAAAACUAUAGAGAGCUUCUAACUAGUGAUAAUGGAAUACAUGCGCCAACAGUAAUACACAUUGACAGAUUAGGUAAUAAAAUGCUAGUCACAAGUACAGCGGAAAAAGCGUUCGUAUAUACUCUCACAGUAGUUUGACAAAGUUCUAUUGAUGUCAGUACCGUUAGAGUCAGUGCUUCUAUGAGGUUAAUCAAUAUUUAAAAUGGAAAAAGAGAUUAUUCCUAUGAAACAUUUAAAAAUAAAUUGUAUUGUUUCAUAUUUGAUUAAAUAAAGUAUUUAUCCAUUAACAUUUUGGGCACAAUAUAA